rnacentral:rRNA from 1 species
UACAGAGGUCUCAAGCGUUGUUCGGAUUCAUUGGGCGUAAAGGGCGCGUAGGCUGCGGGCAAGUCGGGUGUGAAAUCUCAGGGCUCAACCUGAAACUGCACUCGAUACUGCUCUGCUUGAGGACUGGAGAGGAGACUGGAAUUCACGGUGUAGCAGUGAAAUGCGUAGAUAUCGUGAGGAAGACCAGUGGCGAAGGCGGUCUCUGGACAGUUCCUGACGCUGAGGCGGCGAAGGCCAGGGAGCAAAGCGG